rnacentral:rRNA from 1 species
UAAAAAGCUCGUAGUUGGAUUUCGGGGCGGCCCGGCCGGUCCGCCGCAAGGCGAGUACUGGUCGGGCGCCCUUCCUCUCGAAGGCUUCGACUGCUCUUGAUUGUGGUGGUCGAGGAGUUCGGGACGUUUACUUUGAAAAAAUUAGAGUGUUCAAGGCAGGCCGUGGCCUGAAUACAUUAGCAUGGAAUAAUGGAAGAGGACCUCGGUCCUAUUUUGUUGGUUUCCAGGGCCGAAGUAAUGAUUGAGAGGGACAGUUGGGGGCAUUCGUAUUUAAUUGUCAGAGGUGAAAUUCUCGGAUUUAUGAAAGACGAACAAGUGCGAAAGCAUUUGCCAAGGAUGUUUUCAUUAAUCAAGAACGAAAGUUGGGGGUUCGAAGACGAUCAGAUACCGUCGUAGUCCCAACCAUAAACUAUGCCGACUAGGGAUCGGCGGAUGUUAGCGUCUGACUCCGUCGGCACCUUACGAGAAAUCAAGAGUCUUUGGGUUCCGGGGGG